AUGAUUUCCUUCUUCCAAUUGCCAAAAGGAAUUUUACACAGAUUUGAUUACUUUCGAUCAAGAUUCUUUUGGCAAGGAGAUAGCGAGAGAAAGAAAUAUAGAAUGGCUAAAUGGAGUGUGUUUUGCCGUCCCAAAGACCAAGGCGGGUUGGGCAUUCAUGACCUUGAGGUUAAGAAUAGGGCCCUCCUCGGCAAAUGGUUGUUUAAGUUAUUGACGGAAGAUGGUGUAUGGCAAACUCUCCUAAAGAGAAAAUAUGUGGGUUCAAAGACGAUAUCCCAGGUGUACUGGAAGCCUGGGGACUCUCACUUUUGGGCUGGCUUAAUGGCGACGAAGAAAUAUUUCUUCCGCUAUGGCUCUUUCUCGAUUAAGGAUGGCUCGGAAAUUAGAUUCUGGGAGGAUAAGUGGCUAGGCAAUGCUUCACUCGGGGAACAAUACCCAGCUCUGUAUAAUAUUGUGCGCCACAAGGGUGAUACUAUCGUCACGGUUAUGGAAUCAUUUCCGCCAAACGUGUCGUUCAGAAGAGAUUUAAUUGGACCUAGACUCCAAUCGUGGAACACCCUGCUCCAGCGGUUAUCCACCGUGCAAUUGUCACAAGGGUUCGAUGAAUUUCGCUGGAACCUACAAGGGAAUGAUCAAUUCUCAGUGGAGUCCAUGUACAGAGCCUUGCUCCAAUCCGAUGUGCCAGUUGAUAAUAAUAAGAAGAUUUGGAAGAUGAAAAUACCUCUUAAGAAUAAAAUCUUUGCAUGGUAUCUUCGUCGCGGAGUCAUUCUUACUAAAGAUAACCUUGUUAAGAGGAAUUGGCAUGGAAGUACGCAAUGCGUCUUUUGUCAGCAUGAUGAAACAAUAAAACAUUUGUUCUUUCAAUGUAAAUUGGCUCGUUCUAUAUGGUCAGUCAUCCAAAUAGCUUCUGGCUUGUACCCUCCUUGUAGUGUUGCUAAUAUAUUUGGCAACUGGUUACAUGGGAUCGAACACAAGUUUAGAACUCUUCUCAGGGUGGGAGCGCUCGCCGUUAUUUGGUCGCUUUGGCUAUGUAGAAAUGAUAAGGUUUUUAACGAGAAAAGUACAUCUCUUAUGCAGGUUAUCUACAGAUAUACCGGGACGCUUCGUUUAUGGUCGUCUCUACAGCGUAUGGAGAAUCGCGGCCUCUUUAUGGAGGUCUGUACACUAUUGGAGGCUACGGUGAGAGAUACUUUUACCAAAUAUGGGUGGCAGCAUUUUCUCAGGAUUGGCCCUCCUACGUCUUAG
rnacentral:rRNA from 1 species